UGGGGAAUAUUGCACAAUGGGCGGAAGCCUGAUGCAGCGACGCCGCGUGAGGGAUGAAGGCCUUCGGGUUGUAAACCUCUUUCGACAGGGACGAAGCGUGAGUGACGGUACCUGGAGAAGAAGCGCCGGCCAACUACGUGCCAGCAGCCGCGGUAAGACGUAGGGCGCGAGCGUUGUCCGGAUUUAUUGGGCGUAAAGAGCUCGUAGGCGGCUUGUUGCGUCGGCUGUGAAAACCCGCAGCUCAACUGUGGGCUUGCAGCCGAUACGGGCAGGCUUGAGUUCGGUAGGGGAGACUGGAAUUCCUGGUGUAGCGGUGAAAUGCGCAGAUAUCAGGAGGAACACCGGUGGCGAAGGCGGGUCUCUGGGCCGAUACUGACGCUGAGGAGCGAAAGCGUGGGGAGCGAACAGGAUUAGAUACCCCCGUAGUCC
rnacentral:rRNA from 1 species